rnacentral:rRNA from 1 species
AGUGAACGCUGGCGGUAGGCCUAACACAUGCAAGUCGAACGGCAGCACAGUAAGAGCUUGCUCUUACGGGUGGCGAGUGGCGGACGGGUGAGGAAUACAUCGGAAUCUACUUUUUCGUGGGGGAUAACGUAGGGAAACUUACGCUAAUACCGCAUACGACCUACGGGUGAAAGCAGGGGAUCUUCGGACCUUGCGCGAUUGAAUGAGCCGAUGUCGGAUUAGCUAGUUGGCGGGGUAAAGGCCCACCAAGGCGACGAUCCGUAGCUGGUCUGAGAGGAUGAUCCGCCACACUGGAACUGAGACACGGUGCAGACUCCUACGGGAGGCAGCCGUGGGGAAUAUUGGACAAUGGGCGCAAGCCUGAUCCAGCCAUACCGCGUGGGUGAAGAAGGCCUUCGGGUUGUAAAGCCCUUUUGUUGGGAAAGAAAAGCAGCAGGUUAAUACCCCGCUGUUCUGACGGUACCCAAAGAAUAAGCACCGGCUAACUUCGUG